rnacentral:rRNA from 1 species
CUUACACAUGCAAGUCGAGGGGCAGCGGGAUUGAAGCUUGCUUCAAUUGCCGGCGACCGGCGCACGGGUGAGUAACGCGUAUCCAACCUUCCGUACACUCAGGGAUAGCCUUUCGAAAGAAAGAUUAAUACCUGAUGGUAUGAUGAGAUUGCAUGAUAGCAUCAUUAAAGAUUCAUCGGUGUACGAUGGGGAUGCGUUCCAUUAGGUAGUAGGCGGGGUAACGGCCCACCUAGCCUACGAUGGAUAGGGGUUCUGAGAGGAAGGUCCCCCACAUUGGAACUGAGACACGGUCCAAACUCCUACGGGAGGCAGCAGUGAGGAAUAUUGGUCAAUGGACGAGAGUCUGAACCAGCCAAGUAGCGUGAAGGAUGAAGGUCCUACGGAUUGUAAACUUCUUUUAUAAGGGAAUAAAACCUCCCACGUGUGGGAGCUUGUAUGUACCUUAUGAAUAAGCAUCGGCUAACUCCGUGCCAGCAGCCGCGGUAAUACGGAGGAUGCGAGCGUUAUCCGGAUUUAUUGGGUUUAAAGGGAGCGCAGACGGGUCGUUAAGUCAGCUGUGAAAGUUUGGGGCUCAACCUUAAAAUUGCAGUUGAUACUGGCGUCCUUGAGUGCGGUUGAGGUGUGCGGAAUUCGUGGUGUAGCGGUGAAAUGCUUAGAUAUCACGAAGAACUCCGAUCGCGAAGGCAGCACACUAAGCCGUAACUGACGUUCAUGCUCGAAAGUGUGGGUAUCAAACAGGAUUAGAUACCCUGGUAGUCCACACGGUAAACGAUGGAUACUCGCUGUUGGCGAUAUACUGUCAGCGGCUUAGCGAAAGCGUUAAGUAUCCCACCUGGGGAGUACGCCGGCAACGGUGAAACUCAAAGGAAUUGACGGGGGCCCGCACAAGCGGAGGAACAUGUGGUUUAAUUCGAUGAUACGCGAGGAACCUUACCCGG